UACAGAGGUCUCAAGCGUUUGUUCGGAUUCAUUGGGCGUAAAGGGUGCGUAGGCGGCGCGGUAAGUCGGGUGGUGAAAUCUCGGAGCUUAACUCCGAAACUGCACUCUAUACUGCUCUGCUUGAGGACUGGAGAGGAGACUGGAAUUCACGGUGUAGCAGUGAAAUGCGUAGAUAUCGUGAGGAAGACCAGUGGCGAAGGCGGGUCUCUGGAACAGUUCCGUGACGCUGAGGCGCGAAGGCCAGGGGAGCAAACGGGG
rnacentral:rRNA from 1 species